rnacentral:rRNA from 1 species
UACCAGCACCCCGAGUGGUCGGGACGAUUAUUGGGCCUAAAGCAUCCGUAGCCGGUUCUACAAGUCUUCCGUUAAAUCCACCUGCUCAACAGUUGGGCUGCGGAGGAUACUAUAGAGCUAGGAGGCGGGAGAGGCAAGCGGUGCUUAGUGGGUAGGGGUAAAAUCCGUUGAUCCAUUGAAGACCACCAGUGGCGAAGGCGGCUUGCCAGAACGCACUCGACGGUGAGGGAUGAAAGCUGGGGGAGCAAACCGG